rnacentral:rRNA from 1 species
UUUGAACGCUGGCGGCAGGCCUAACACAUGCAAGUCGAGCGGAUGAAGGGAGCUUGCUCCUGGAUUCAGCGGCGGACGGGUGAGUAAUGCCUAGGAAUCUGCCUGGUAGUGGGGGAUAACGUCCGGAAACGGGCGCUAAUACCGCAUACGUCCUGAGGGAGAAAGUGGGGGAUCUUCGGACCUCACGCUAUCAGAUGAGCCUAGGUCGGAUUAGCUAGUUGGUGGGGUAAAGGCCUACCAAGGCGACGAUCCGUAACUGGUCUGAGGGGAUGAUCAGUCACACUGGAACUGAGACACGGUCCAGACUCCUACGGGAGGCAGCAGUGGGGAAUAUUGGACAAUGGGCGAAAGCCUGAUCCAGCCAUGCCGCGUGUGUGAAGAAGGUCUUCGGAUUGUAAAGCACUUUAAGUUGGGAGGAAGGGCAGUAAGUUAAUACCUUGCUGUUUUGACGUUACCAACAGAAUAAGCACCGGCUAACUUCGUG